rnacentral:rRNA from 1 species
GAGUUUGAUCAUGGCUCAGAUUGAACGCUGGCGGCAGGCCUAACACAUGCAAGUCGAACGGUAACAGGAAGCAGCUUGCUGCUUCGCUGACGAGUGGCGGACGGGUGAGUAAUGUCUGGGAAGCUGCCUGAUGGAGGGGGAUAACUACUGGAAACGGUAGCUAAUACCGCAUAAUGUCGCAAGACCAAAGAGGGGGACCUUCGGGCCUCUUGCCAUCGGAUGUGCCCAGAUGGGAUUAGCUUGUUGGUGGGGUAACGGCUCACCAAGGCGACGAUCCCUAGCUGGUCUGAGAGGAUGACCAGCCACACUGGAACUGAGACACGGUCCAGACUCCUACGGGAGGCAGCAGUGGGGAAUAUUGCACAAUGGGCGCAAGCCUGAUGCAGCCAUGCCGCGUGUAUGAAGAAGGCCUUCGGGUUGUAAAGUACUUUCAGCGGGGAGGAAGGGUGUAAAGUUAAUACCUUUGCUCAUUGACGUUACCCGCAGAAGAAGCACCGGCUAACUCCGUGCCAGCAGCCGCGGUAAUACGGAGGGUGCAAGCGUUAAUCGGAAUUACUGGGCGUAAAGCGCACGCAGGCGGUUUGUUAAGUCAGAUGUGAAAUCCCCGGGCUCAACCUGGGAACUGCAUCUGAUACUGGCAAGCUUGAGUCUCGUAGAGGGGGGUAGAAUUCCAGGUGUAGCGGUGAAAUGCGUAGAGAUCUGGAGGAAUACCGGUGGCGAAGGCGGCCCCCUGGACGAAGACUGACGCUCAGGUGCGAAAGCGUGGGGAGCAAACAGGAUUAGAUACCCUGGUAGUCCACGCCGUAAACGAUGUCGACUUGGAGGUUGUGCCCUUGAGGCGUGGCUCCCGGAGCUAACGCGUUAAGUCGACCGCCUGGGGAGUACGGCCGCAAGGUUAAAACUCAAAUGAAUUGACGGGGGCCCGCAUAAGCGGUGGAGCAUGUGGUUUAAUUCGAUGCAACGCGAAGAACCUUACCUGGUCUUGACAUCCACGGAAGUUUUCAGAGAUGAGAAUGUGCCUUCGGGAACCGUGAGACAGGUGCUGCAUGGCUGUCGUCAGCUCGUGUUGUGAAAUGUUGGGUUAAGUCCCGCAACGAGCGCAACCCUUAUCCUUUGUUGCCAGCGGUCCGGCCGGGAACUCAAAGGAGACUGCCAGUGAUAAACUGGAGGAAGGUGGGGAUGACGUCAAGUCAUCAUGGCCCUUACGACCAGGGCUACACACGUGCUACAAUGGCGCAUACAAAGAGAAGCGACCUCGCGAGAGCAAGCGGACCUCAUAAAGUGCGUCGUAGUCCGGAUUGGAGUCUGCAACUCGACUCCAUGAAGUCGGAAUCGCUAGUAAUCGUGGAUCAGAAUGCCACGGUGAAUACGUUCCCGGGCCUUGUACACACCGCCCGUCACACCAUGGGAGUGGGUUGCAAAAGAAGUAGGUAGCUUAACCUUCGGGAGGGCGCUUACCACUUUGUGAUUCAUGACUGGGGUGAAGUCGGAACAAGGUA